rnacentral:lncRNA from 1 species
CUCUAUAUGACUUACCACAUCCUUCUUUGUGACACCAUACAUACUGCAAAACCUCAUCCUGGCUUCCUAGAAAGUAAAAGCCUGUGCUGUCUUCUGUCCUUGGGUUAGAUGAGGACACUUCCUGGAGAGCCUCACCAAGGAAUCCACCCCCACCUCCAAGACUCAGUAGCAGCCACAUCAAUCUCGAGCAAAGGGAAGGGCUCCACCCUCAAGGAUCUUAUCCAUGACAGACCCCUAGACCCAGGCAACUUGGCAAGGGAGCCUUUAAGAGUGCUGAGAGGUUGGGUCUGGCCUAGAAUGUUGGUGUCAAAGACAAAGGCCUUGAGGAACUGCAUGAAAUCAUCCACCGUGAGCCCAUGAGUGUCCUGGAGAUGACACAAAGUGUGUUUCAGCUAACUGGAACUUGAGCCCAUGGACAUUCUGGACAGCCACAGAGAAUCCUCUCUGGGAAAACCAGGGCCAACUCACAACAAGCGUGACUUCACCCUACACUCCCCAGUGCUGUGUGACGGGGACAAGAAGCCAAGGACAAAUAUCACACAUCUUCCAGGAGAGCCAAUUAUACUCUGUAGUUGGUUUUUUUUUUAAUAGGAUGAAAAUUACCAAAAAGAAUUUCCCUCAUGUUAAGACAUGCAUUUUUUUCUUAUUUCAGCAUUUCUAAAAUCUGAAGGCACUGAUGUCAUUGUUUAAUGUGGCCAUUUUCUUGCUUCUCAGAAAAAUUAAUUAAAUGUCAUUAAAUCCAGGGCACUUCAUGUAAUUGACAGCAUCUUAGAACUGAGGACAUUAAACAGCCAUUUAAAUAGAACUGUAAGUCAUUUAAGACAUUGUUUUAUGCGAACCCUUGGCAGGAUGCUUUAAAAUCAGAAGGCCA